GACGAACGCUGGCGGCGUGCUUAACACAUGCAAGUCGAACGAAGUGGCGAACGGGUGAGUAAUACGUGAGUAACCUGCCCUCCUUUUUGGGAUAAGCCUUGGAAACGGGGUCUAAUACCGAAUAAAGGGGGAUGGGCUCGCGGCCUAUCAGCUUGUUGGUGGGGUGAUGGCGUACCAAGGCGGUGACGGGUAGCGGGCCUGAGAGGGUGACAGGCCACAGUGGGACGGAGAUACGGCCCAGACUCCUACGGGAGGCGGCAGUGGGGGAGAUGGCACAAUGGGCGAAUGCCUGAUGCAGCGACGCCGCGUGGGGGAUGAAGGCUUUCGGGUUGUAAACCUCGUUCGCUAUCGGAAGGGUAGGUGGAGAAGAAGCGCCGGCUAACUACGUGCCAGCAGCCGCGGUAAUAC
rnacentral:rRNA from 1 species